UACGGGGGGGGCAAGCGUUGUUCGGAAUUACUGGGCGUAAAGGGCUCGUAGGUGGCCAACUAAGUCAGACGUGAAAUCCCUCGGCUUAACCGGGGAACUGCGUCUGAUACUGGAUGGCUUGAGUUUGGGAGAGGGAUGUAGAAUUCCAGGUGUAGCGGUGAAAUGCGUAGAUAUUCGGAAGAACACCAGUGGCGAAGGCGGCUCACUGGACCGGUAUUGACGCUGAGGUGCGAAAGCGUGGGGAGCAAACAGG
rnacentral:rRNA from 1 species